GAGCUGUCCAGUUCAGCACCACCCGGUAAUGCAGUAGGUGGGAGCGCCUCCGCCGGGGGCCGAGCCGGCAGCGAGUGGGGGGGCAGGCGGGCGGCCCAUCCUGCAGCAAGACGCCGGCUCCCUUGUUUCCAGGAGCUUUGCAGAUAGGGGGAGGGAAACCCGCCUCGAUUCUCCGGGAGAAACCCCCUCCCUCCCCCACUUCGCCAACACUACCCCCGCCACCAACAACAAUAACCGCCGCCGCUGCUCGUCCUGCCGCCGCCGCCGCCGCCGCCGCCGCCGUGCCUGCCCGCCCUGCUGCCGCCGCCGCUGCCGCUGCCGGGGCAAAACCAUGGAAGGCGAGACCCCCGCACCUGUUCAGCUGAGAUCAAGGGCUUACAGAAUACUGGGAAGUCUGGUCUGAAACGGAAGCGCCCGAGACCCCCCCCCCCCCCAAGGAAGAGAACUGGCGAAGCAAAGGAUUUUCAUGGCGCAGGCCGCAGAGCCGAGAACGAAGACGGAAGGUUGCAUCCCGGCUUUUACAAUCUCUAACUGUCUAGGUCCCGACCAUGAGAGAUUGUGUUGAGAAUGCGGCUGUUCCCUGGUUCACUGUGGAAGCCAUCUCCAAAUUAGCUAUCACAUAUGGAAACUGGAGACCAGAAUUUUAGGAAAAGAGAUUAAGGCAUCUCACUUGGGGGGGUGGGGGGUGUCUUUUUAUUUUUUUUUUCCUCCUUUUUUUAAAAAAAAAUUUACUGCAACUGGAACAGUUUCUGAUCUCAAAAGGCAAGCCUCUCUUCCCGUGUGAUCUUUAUAAUUUACACUCUUUUCCGUGAGCUUUUCUUACCUCCCUGGUUUUAUAUCUCUCCAUAUUCUCUAUUCACACACAGAUCCAUUAUAUUAGUAGUGGAAUUAUUUUUAUUUUUUUGCUUUAGUACUCGCACCCUCACACACACUCUCCCGAGAACCAGAAGUCGGUUGGGUGUUUAUAUAAUGAAGAAUUAUGGGGCUGUUUGAUCGAGGAGUUCAAAUGCUUUUAACCACCGUUGGUGCUUUCGCUGCCUUCAGUCUGAUGACCAUAGCUGUGGGAACCGACUAUUGGCUCUACUCCAGAGGGGUUUGCAAGACCAAAAGUGUCAGUGAGAAUGAAACCAGCAAAAAGAACGAGGAAGUUAUGACCCAUUCUGGAUUAUGGAGAACCUGCUGUCUAGAAGGGUCACUGAGACGUGUGUGCCUGUGCAUGUGCUGUGGCCAAAGGGGUCCCCACCGUGAGAAGCCUGGGAGCUCGGGGUACCGCUAAAGGCAUGUGCUUCUGAGCCACGUUCAGAAGCACAGAAAAAAACUCCUGCAGGUCAUACAACCUGCAUUUAGCAACAGACUUUAAUACGAGGGACCGCAUUUGAAUGGCCAUGUGUGUAUAUAUACAUACAUAGAGAUAUCCGUAUGUACAAGCUACAGCUACCCGUAGAAGGAUGUGCACAGAGAGAUACGUGUUUCUGCGUGGAGAGAAAGGCUUAUGUGCUCUGCUUCUGACAUGAACCAAUACCGGAGGCCGUUUGAGGCAGCGCUGGGAAGCGGGGACUGCAGAAUUGUUUGUUAAGCUCACCAUGGGAUGGUGAUGCAAGGACUUGAAGCCAGGAGAUGGGGGAGAAGAGAGGGAAACAGACAGCAGAGGGAGAAACUGAUGUGGCCCCAGGGUCUAACCCAAACUGAGCCAAAGCCGCUCUUUGGGAAACGAUUAUGUCUGGGAAAGAGCACCAGUUUCAUGCCCCCCUCCCAACAUUCUUGGUGCAAGCGGUUGAGUGAUGGCUGAACAUGUUUUGAAUAGCUAAGUGACUUCAUUGAGCGAUGGUCUAUUUGACGCAUACUGCAUUUGGUGCCCUUUCUCAAUCCAAACCGCUGCCUUGAACAUAGUCUGCAGGAGAGCUGUAGGCUGAAUACUCUAUGCUCUUCCCCAGCCAGAGAAUCAAUAUCAGGAAAUUAAUAGGGACCGUUUUAAACACACCCGUCCUUAAAGAAUGAAAAGCCUUUCGAGCAGCUUGUCAUUAACAGUGGAAAGGCUUCCAUUUAAUUAAACAUUUAUGGCAGACUUUUAUUCCAAAAGGGAAGAAAAGCAAAGUGAAUGAGAGUUGCUUUAGGGAAAUGAUCAUAGGAGCAAUUUGCCUUCCUUGGAUGUUAGUCGGAUGGAGACAGGCAGCCAAGAAAUUAGAGGAAAGACGGAACGUUAUUUUAAGAGAAAUAUACUCAGAAAUUGGUAAGUUGGUAUAAACAUACUUUCUUAUCAGGGCUUUACUUGCAAAUUCUUCAUGUACUGGGAUCUUUGAAACAUUUUAUAAUUCCCAGAAGGCAAGUGGACUAGAGGUGGCUUUGGAUCACUUGUGUAUUAAAAGGCUUAAGUAUUUUCA